CCUGGGAGACGCAGGGGAUGAUGCUCUGGGUGGGGAAGCCUCUACAGGUGGCUGCAGCAGAAGCGGUUUUCAAUAUUAUUAGCCCUUCCCUGCGUCCCCAGAGCUCCCUCCGCCCCAGUCCUCCUGGCUCAGGCACCAGCGCUGUCUCUUGCCACCCCUCCCUGCAGCUGUCACCCUCCCACCGUCCCUGACUAGCACACCGGAUUGGGAGGGCCAAGCAGGCACCUGGAGCUUGGCAGGGAGGGGGCGUGCAUCUCCAAUGAGGCGCUCCAGAAAUAGAGCUUCCGCAUGGGAAGGGAACGAGCAGGCUCUGGGAGGACCCGCGAGGCCGGAGGAGCCAUGAGGUGCCCAGGGCGUCUCUUCUUCCCACCUGGAACGCUCGGAAGACAGCCCAGGAGAAAGGUGGAAACGGGCGUGAGCUGCCGCCACCAGGAGCCACCAGCCCAGGAGGCAGCAGCACCAUCCCCUCCUCAAAGCAACCACCACCAAGAACGCCUGGGCCCUCUCCCCACACUGUGGGGUUUUCCUGAUGGCCACAUCCGGCGCCGACUGUGAGGGAGCCAUGGAUGUAUGCUUCUGUGUCAGAAAACCGAGGCCCUAAGCAGCUGAGUAACCCACUCAGAGGACGUCUGUCUCAGACAACGUGGCUUGGGAAAGGGCAGCCACUUCGAGAUUCCCUUGAUGCCUUUGUUGGAUGGCUUCCAGUAGAUGUUAACGCCACAGCCAGAUGCUAACCUUGGCCACAGAGACAAGUGUGUGAGCCUUUGAGCACCACAGUGAUUUGGGUGGGAACAGAAACCUCCGCAUCCCUGGCACUGAGGAGUUGGGGAGAUCCAACGUCACGCGCUGGGAAGGAAGGAGUUAAAGAGUCCUUCUCCUCCGGGCUUUGCCAAAGGUGAUGCUACCCUGAAGUGCUCUUAACCCCAGCCAUCAACCCCAAUCUGUCAGAGCAGCGGGGAGCUGUGGUAGACAGGCCUUCCUGAUUCAGCUAAAUGUGGACCGGGUGGAGACCAGCCAGUGCUCCCCAAGACACUGAACCCCCAUCUAUCACGCUGCCUCCUCCAGGCCCCUUCUAAGCAUUCCCUGGAUAGUCCCUGGGGCCAGUGCUCUCCACCCUCCCAGCCCUCCCUCCAGCCUGUGCACUCAGACUGUCUGCGGCUCCCCAGCCCCGGGGUGACCUGCCUGCUCCUGCCUCAUCACUGGACUUAAAGGGGAUUUCACGGUUGGUCGCACCUCCAGAAGCACUGGGUUAAUGAUGAGGGGCUGAGUGGGAAGAAGGUAUAUCCCAUUUCAAGACUAUUUGCCCUGCUCCUAAUUCCCAAGCACAUGCUACUCACCGCCUCUCCAACAAGCAACUCUUGCUUCUACCAAUCACUUGGCCAGGAUGGAAAAAAGGGGAUGGGCCCUAGAACCAAAACUGGGUAUCUCCACUUUUCCUCCCUUCUCAUGUUAGCAGCUCAGCUCCACUGCACACGACAGGAAGGCCCCAGGAGUCUCUGCUUCCUUGAUCACCCAGAGGUCACUGCUGAUGACAAAAAUGUGUUCCCAUGCGGGGGCCAGGCAGGGAGCCCCGGUGCGUGCAGAGGCUGAAUGCACAGUGGGUGGGAGGGAGUGGGGCCCUCUACAUUCAAAUGAAAAACCAAAACCAAAAAUAGACUGUGAUGACCAAAAAACCAAGAGUUUGCACCCUCACUGGCCCAUCAGCCCCUUAAAAGCCGGGACUGGCCGGGCGUGGUGGCUCACACCUGUAAUCCCAGCACUUUGGGAGGCCAAGACGGGCAGAUAGCCUGAGGCUGGGAGUUCCAGACCAGCCUGGCCAGCAUGGUGAAACCCCGUCUCUAAUAAAAAUACAAAAAUUAGCCAGGUGUGGUGGCACGUGCCUGUAAUCCCAGCAGUGAGCCGAGAUUGUGUCACUGCACUCCAGGCUGGGCAACAGAGUGAGACUCCCUCUCAAAAAAAAAAAGCCGGGGCCGGGUGCAGUGGCUCACACCUGUAAUCCCAGUACUUUGGGAGGCCGAGGUGGGCGGAUCACGAAGUCAGGAGAUAGAGACCAUCCUGGCUAACACGGGGAAACCCCAUCCCUACUAAAUAUACAAAAAAUUGGCUGAGCAUGGUGGCGGGCGCCUGUAGUCCCAGCUACUCGGGAGGCUGAGGCGAGAGAAUGGUGUGAACAGGCCGGGCGUGGUGGCUCACGCUUGUAAUCCCAGCACUUUGGGAGGCCGAGGCGGGCGGAUCACGAGGUCAGGAGAUUGAGACCACGGUGAAACCCCGUCUCUACUAAAAAUACAAAAAAUUAGCCGGGCGUGGUGGCGGGCGCCUGUAGUCCCAGCUACUCGGAGAGGCUGAGGCAGGAGAAUGGCGUGAACCCGGGAGACGGAGCUUGCAGUGAGCCGAGAUUGCGCCACUGCACUCCAGCCUGGGCGACAGAGCGAGACUCGGUCUCAAAAAAA